rnacentral:rRNA from 1 species
GAUGAACGCUGGCGGCGUGCCUAAUACAUGCAAGUCGAGCGAACAGACGAGGAGCUUGCUCCUCUGACGUUAGCGGCGGACGGGUGAGUAACACGUGGAUAACCUACCUAUAAGACUGGGAUAACUUCGGGAAACCGGAGCUAAUACCGGAUAAUAUAUUGAACCGCAUGGUUCAAUAGUGAAAGACGGUUUUGCUGUCACUUAUAGAUGGAUCCGCGCCGCAUUAUCUAGUUGGUAAGGUAACGGCUUACCAAGGCAACGAUGCGUAGCCGACCUGAGAGGGUGAUCGGCCACACUGGAACUGAGACACGGUCCAGACUCCUACGGGAGGCAGCAGUAGGGACUCUUCCGCAAUGGGCGAAAGCCUGACGGAGCAACGCCGCGUGAAUGAUGAAGGUCUUCGGAUCGUAAAACUCUGUUAUUAGGGAAGAACAAAUGUGUAAGUAACUAUGCACGUCUUGACGGUACCUAAUCAGAAAGCCACGGCUAACUACGUG